GAUGAACGCUGGCGGCGUGCCUAAUACAUGCAAGUAGAACGCUGAAGGAGGAGCUUGCUCUUCUGGAUGAGUUGCGAACGGGUGAGUAACGCGUAGGUAACCUGCCUGGUAGCGGGGGAUAACUAUUGGAAACGAUAGCUAAUACCGCAUGACAACAGUUAUUGCAUGAUAACUGUUUAAAAGGGGCAACUGCUCCACUACCAGAUGGACCUGCGUUGUAUUAGCUAGUUGGUGAGGUAACGGCGCAACACGGCGACGAUACAUAGCCGGCCGGAGAGGGGGGACGGCCAACCUGGGACUGAGACACGGCCCAGACUCCUAACGGAGGGAGCAGUAGGGAAUCUUCGGCAAUGGACGGAAGGCUGACCGAGCAACGCCGCGUGAGUGAAGAAGGUUCUCGGAUCGUAAAGCUCUUUUGUAAGAGAAGAACGAGUGGGAGAGGGGAAAGUGCACACUGUGACGGUAUCUUACCAGAAAGGGACGGCUAACUACGUG
rnacentral:rRNA from 1 species